AGGGCGCAUGGGGGAUGCCUAGGCUCUCAGAGGCGAUGAAGGACGUGAUAAGCUGCGAAAAGCUGCGGGGACGGGCACACACCGAUCGAUCCGCAGGUAUCCGAAUGGGGCAACCCGCUAUAUUGAAGAUAUAGCACACCGAUAGGUGGGCAAACCCGCUGAACUGAAACAUCUAAGUAGGCGGAGGAGAAGAAAACAAAAGUGAUUCCGUAAGUAGUGGCGAGCGAACGCGGAUUAGCCCAAACCAGGAUUGUUACGGCAUUGCUGGGGUUGUAGGACCGCGACAUUUCAUGCACAAGGAACCGGAAGCUUCUGGAAAGGAGCGCCACAGAGGGUGACAGCCCCGUAUGGGCAACAAGUGUAAUGGAUAGCGGUAUCCUGAGUAGGGCGGGGCACGUGAAACCCUGUCUGAAUUUGGCGGGACCAUCCGCUAAGGCUAAAUACUCCUGAGAGACCGAUAGUGAACCAGUACCGUGAGGGAAAGGUGAAAAGAACCGUGAAUAACGGAGUGAAAUAGAUCCUGAAACCAUGCGCCUACAAGCGGUAGCGAGUCUGAAUAGGGCGCUUUAGUCAGUAGUGUUAGACGCGAAACCGUGUGAUCUACCCAUGGGCAGGUUGAAGCUGUGGUAACACACAGUGGAGGACCGAACCGGUUGACGUUGAAAAGUCUUCGGAUGACCUGUGGGUAGGGGUGAAAGGCCAAUCAAACUCGGAAAUAGCUCGUACUCCCCGAAAUGCAUUUAGGUGCAGCGUUAUUUUAGUUAUAUAGAGGUAGAGCUACUGAUUGGAUGCGGGGGCUUCACCGCCUACCAAUUCCUGACAAACUCCGAAUGCUAUAUAAUGAUUGAUAACAGUGAGGGCUUGGGUGCUAAGGUCCAAGUCCGAGAGGGAAAGAACCCAGACCAUCAGCUAAGGUCCCCAAAUAUAUGCUAAGUUGAAAGAACGAGGUUUGUCUGCCCAGACAGCUAGGAUGUUGGCUUGGAAGCAGCCAUUCAUUUAAAGAGUGCGUAACAGCUCACUAGUCGAGCGGACGAGCAUGGAUAAUAAUCGGGCAUAAGCAUAUUACCGAAGCUAUGGAUUUGCAUGUAUUUGCAAGUGGUAGGGGAGCAUUCUGACAGGGCUGAAGGUGUGUCGUAAGGCAUGCUGGACCGGUCAGAAAAGAAAAUGUAGGCAUAAGUAACGAUAAUGCGGGCGAGAAACCCGCACACCGAAAAACUAAGGUUUCCACAGCUAUGCUAAUCAGCUGUGGGUUAGUCUGGACCUAAGGCGAACCCGAAAGGGACAGUCGAUGGCCAACGGGUUAAUAUUCCCGUACUUCUUAUUGCUGUGAUGGGGUGACGGAGUGAUGAAAGCGCCGCGAACUGACGGAAUAGUUCGUUAAAGCACCUAGCUAUAGGGUCUCUAGGCAAAUCCGGAGAUCUUGGUGAAAUGCGAUAGUACUCGGAGUCUUCGGACAAAGAGAUAGUGCGCCUAAGGGCUUCCAAGAAAAACCUCUAAACUUCAGGCAGUAAGAACCAGUACCGUAAACCGACACAGGUAGUUGAGGAGAGAAUCCUAAGGUGCUCGAGAGAUUCAUGGCUAAGGAAUUAGGCAAAAUAGACCUGUAACUUCGGGAGAAAGGUCGCCCCGAGCAAUCGGGGCCGCAGUGAAGAGGUCCAGGCGACUGUUUAUCAAAAACACAGGGCUCUGCAAAAUCGUAAGAUGAAGUAUAGGGCCUGACACCUGCCCGGUGCUGGAAGGUUAAGAGGAGAUGUUAUCUUCGGAGAAGCAUUGAAUUGAAGCCCCAGUAAACGGCGGCCGUAACUAUAACGGUCCUAAGGUAGCGAAAUUCCUUGUCGGGUAAGUUCCGACCUGCACGAAUGGUGUAACG
rnacentral:rRNA from 1 species